GAUGAACGCUGGCGGCGUGCCUAAUACAUGCAAGUCGAGCGAACGGACGAGAAGCUUGCUUCUCUGAUGUUAGCGGCGGACGGGUGAGUAACACGUGGAUCACCUACCUAUAAGACUGGUAUAACUUCGGGAAACCGGAGCUAAUACCGGAGAAUAUUUUGAACCGCAUGGUUCAAAAGUGAAAGACGGUCUUGCUGUCACUUAUAGAUGGAUCCGCGCUGCAUUAGCUAGUUGGUAAGGUAACGGCUUACCAAGGCAACGAUGCAUAGCCGACGUGAGAGGGUGAUCGGCCACACUGGAACUGAGACACGGUCCAGACUACUACGGGAGGCAGCAGUAGGGAAUCUUCCGCAAUGGGCGAAAGCCUGACGGAGCAACGCCGCGUGAGUGAUGACGGUCCUCGGAUCGUAAAACUCUGUUAUUAGGGAAGAACAGAUGUGUAAGUAACUGUGCACAUCUUGACGGUAACUAAUCAGAAAGCAACGGCUAACUACGUG
rnacentral:rRNA from 1 species